rnacentral:ncRNA from 1 species
UGAGGUAGAGGCGCGACUUUUAAUGAGUAAGUUCAGGGAGAUGGGGAAAUUGAUGAACUGAAUUGAAAGGUAAAGUCGCCGAAGCAUAAGUGGAUUUUUCCCUAAAACUUAUGCUGGGUCUAUAUCCGAAAAGGUAUGGAACUGUCAAUCAAGACUUUCCCUGGGUCUUGAUUGGAGCGCUAUCU